UAUAGAGUCCUCCAGAUCAGCGGCAGUAGGGAUGACCAGGGAUGUUCUCUGUUUAGUGAGUCCUCCAGAUCAGAGGCAGUAGGGAUGACCAGGGAUGUUCUCUGUUUAGUGAGUCCUCCAGAUCAGAGGCAGUAGGGAUGACCAGGGAUGUUCUCUGUUUAGUGAGUCCUCCAGAUCAGAGGCAGUAGGGAUGACCAGGGAUGUUCUCUGUUUAGUGAGUCCUUCAGAUCAGAGGCAGUAGGGAUGACCAGGGAUGUUCUCUGUUUAGUGAGUCCUCCAGAUCAGAGGCAGUAGGGAUGGACCAGGGAUGUUCUCUGUUUAGUGAGUCCUCCAGAUCAGAGGCAGUAGGGAUGACCAGGGAUGUUCUCUGUUUAGUGAGUCCUCCAGAUCAGAGGCAGUAGGGAUGGACCAGGGAUGUUCUCUGUUUAGUGAGUCCUCCAGAUCAGAGGCAGUAGGGAUGGACCAGGGAUGUUCUCUGUUUAGUGAGUCCUCCAGAUCAGAGGCAGUAGGGAUGGACCAGGGAUGUUCUCUUGAUAAGUCCUUGAAU